CUGGAAUGUACACUAUCAGCUCUCCAGUUCUCAGGCCUUCAAAUUACACCUCUGGCUUUCCUGAGUCUCCAGCUUGCAGAUGGCAGAUCGUGGGACUUCAUGGGACUUCUCAGACUCCAUAACCAAACCUCAGAUGUAUAAAUAACUGAAGAAGCUGUGCUAUUUUAAAACAUCCACUGAUGAUUUUUCAUUGGGCUGAGGAGCUACAGUCUAAAUGCAUAUGCAUGUUUGGAACCGAAGUCAGCCAUCUUCCCUAGGACAAAUCUUUACUCUUCUAAAGAAGGAC